rnacentral:lncRNA from 1 species
UGAAACAUAAGUACAAAUAACCUUCAUACGUAAUUAAACCCAAUAUUAUUUAAAAAAAGAAAGCUCGUUUUCAAGUUAAAUCAGUCUGAAUGAUAAAAAAUAGUUGAGCAAUGCAUCUUUACCCGAUAUGUCACAAUUUGAAGUCACGAAAAUAGCAUUUGACGUUAGAAACGUUAUUACCUUCCCUUCAACUGUAUCGUAUGCCCUUAAACCACUAUACUUAUUACAACAGUAUAAUAGCAUAUACACAAGUUAUAUAAUAUGAUACAAUUUUGACACGACACGACAGAAGAUAGAAUAAUGUGUUCUAUUGAUUUGCAUGUUUAUACAUUAUACAGGCG